rnacentral:rRNA from 1 species
CCUACGGGCGGCAGCAGUGGGGAAUCUUCCGCAAUGGGCGAAAGCCUGACGGAGCAACGCCGCGUGAUCGCAUGAAGGCCUUCGGGUUGAAAAGAUCUGUUGACAGGGACGAAUAAGAAAUGAGAAUAGUUUUGUGUAUGACGGUACCUGUUUAGAAAGCUCCGGCUAACUACGGGCAAGCAGCCGCGGUAAUACGUAGGGAGGAAUAGUUGUCCGGAAUUACUGGGCGUAACGGGCGCGUAGGUGGGCGCUUAAGUCAGGAGUGAAAACUCCGGGCUCAACCUGGAGACUGCACUUGAAACUGGGUGUCUUGAGGGCAGGAGAGGAAAGUGGAAUUCCUAGUGUAGCGGUGAAAUGCGUAGAUAUUAGGAGGAACACCAGUGGCGAAGGCGACUUUCUGGACUGUACCUGACGCUGAGGCGCGAAAGCGUGGGUAGCGAACGGGAUUAGAUACCCGGGUAGUC